AUGAGAAGUUUAGAGAUAACUCAGGGCCAGGUUUUGGCGUGUAUGGCUGGUUUUGUGAUGCUGAUUAGUUUUGGACUGUUUGGUGUCUGUGUUGGGUUAGUAAUAUUGUUUCUGAUUUUCCGUUUAGAGCUGAUGCCAUCUGUUUUCUACAUGUAUAGGAUUUUGGUUUGUAGUAGCAUAUUUGAGAAUUGUUUGGACUACAGGACAACGGGGCAGCUAAUAGAAUGA